rnacentral:tRNA from 1 species
AGUAGCUCAAUAGUAGAGCGGUCGGCUAUUAACUGAUUGGUCGUAGGUCUGAAUUCUACUU